UUAAAACUUUGCCAGGGGCUGCGGUUUUUUUGAAAGUCGAAACACUGCUGUCCACCAGUGUUAAAGAUCAUACAAAUUUCGAGAAUAUAAGCCUCAAGAGUGUUUUCUUAAUUAUUAUUUAAAAGAACUGUAACAGUGACCAAGGUGAUCCACAAUACAAACAAGCUUUCAGUCGCCUUCCUGAAGAUUGUCCUAACAAUGACAACUUACAAAACUUCAAAGGUUGAACUUUCCUCAGCGACAAUCCCUGCGGAAGCCCUUGUCAAGGUUUGUCACCAGAGUGACCCGCAGGUGCCCAGACGACAAGGAUAAAGUCGCAAAAAUAAUUUAGGGCCGACGACCGAGCCCUGGGGAGGAAAAGGCCGUUAGAGCGACCUGGGCGACAUUUUCGUGUUCUUUUUAUUACCACACCAAGUGCCUGCCGACAUCCACAGGCAAAUCUCAGAAAAUUGUUGCCGUGGGUGUUACUAAUGUCGCGGAUUUCGCCUCCGGUAUUUUGAGUCAUGCUGAUCAUGGGGACUUGAAGUUGCUAAUAGGCCGGAUGUCAAGUUUGGUAGACCUCCAGACUGAGCUCAAGUUCAUUUACCUGCCUGUCUAGUUUCACCGUGGGCGGCAUAAUAAGGAAUCUCUCCCUGUUCUGAUGUGCGAGUCCACCACACCUUUCCUCCCCGUCUCUCUCCCCUCUCCUCCCCCAUAUCCUCCAUCGCUUGCAUCCGUCUCUGUGUGAAUGGCUGAGAUGAUCACAAAAUGUUUUACUGCUUCCUCCUGUGCAGCUGCUAGUGCAUUUUUUUUUCGGGAACGUAAAAAGAAACCUCUCACCUCAGCUCCAUUUUCUCACCUCACAGUUUGGCAGGUCGGUCAGGUUCCCAAUAUCAUUUUUCUUGUGUAGAUGCGUCACCGUUCUUUUGAGACUCGGCAAAUACAAACAGUCCAAGGUAAACAGUCCUGGUCGCUGAAUCCCAGUAAGGUAAAGAAAUCGAGGAUAGCUCAGGUGCUUGUAAUAGAAGUAAUAAUAAUAAUUCUCUGUUCACAUGUAGCGGACCGGAUAUACACAAACAUCUAUUGCUCAGCUAUGCCCACUAUGCGGACAUCUUUCAUCAGGGUGAGAUGAGCGAGGCAAAGAGGAAAGACGUUUGAUUUCUUUAAUGUGUGUGUUUUAUUUGGUGUAUGGAGGAGGUGAGAGAAAGAGAAAGCAGCAUUUGUGUCCACACUGCCCCCUUGACAUUUGUAAGGCUGUAUACAUCCUGUCGCUACCUCUACCCCAAAACCGUCCCCGUCUCAAAAGAAAACGUUCAACAAACAUUUAAAUCGAAAUCGGUUUCUUUUCCGGAUACACGAGCAAAUACCAAUUCUAACAGUCCCACCAGGGGCACCUCUCUCAGGUAAACAUCAUCGUCAACCACGGCGACAGCAUUAGCCAUCAGCCAAAAAAAAAGAAAUUAUCUCGUGAUCUACGCGUUAAACGUCCAAGAGAUACGACCCAGUCCCCCUAAAGAAGUCUCUCCCUACUCAGCACAAAGCACAUAAAACUUAAUAAUCAAGCGUUUACUGUUAAAAUGUGACAAUGUGCAAAGUUUUUUUUUCUGAGGUUUGCGGUCAUCUAAAAGUACACCUGGGUGCAUCACCGCUGUUUAAAUGUCUAAUGGGGCGCACUUUUCUCCUGAAGACAGGUUAAAACUUGGUACACGAUUGUGGGAAAGAACAUCUCGCACUGAGCUUUACCAGGCAUUAAAAAAAUUGUACCCACUAUCAAAUCAAGUUUCUUAUCCCGCAGUGAAAUCCACUAUUUUUGAAUCUUUUCCGUUUGAAAUAAUUCGUGGUAUGGUCGCAGAAAAUAAGUAGCUACAACUAUCAUAUGCCGCAUCCCUCCUUUUUCAAUCAAAUUCUCUGAUUGCAAAGACCGCAACAGAGCACUGGACAGUCGAACUGCUUCUGAAUGCACAUCAGAGUUCAGAUGCUGGCCUAUGGGAUAUUUGCCCUUUGCACAACAUCCAUGGCAACAGGCUGGCUAGUCAGCCAUAUCUUCCUACGUGCUAUAAAGCUUGUCCCCACGGAAAGUCAAGCUGUGCCAGGAUAUUGACCGCAUUCUGGAAAACAUGUCCUCGUUUUAAAGUUCUGGCCCAUAACUGUUUGUGCCUCUAGCCCGGAGUUCGUCUCGAGACUGCAAAUUGACUGAGUGGCUAAUCGAUCCGCGGCCAUUGGGUUUUUUUCCAGAUUAAUUUCCUGACGCGUGAUCCGAAGCCGAGAGGAAGGUUUGGCCGAGUUCCUUCGUGAGUCAUGGAGCUGUGACACUGCGCUUUGUAGGUCGGGAUGGACCUGUUGACUACUGGGCAUGUAUACUUCCCUGAUGUAGGGGUAUGUACGUUUUUGUCGAUCGUCUGUGUAUGUGUGUGUGGAGGUGGGCGUGCGUGCAUGAUUCGUGUAUCUGUGUGUGCAUGCUUGCCGUGUAGUGUUGGUGUGUGUGUGUGGGUGGCCUACGCAGGAGAGAGAUUGAUGUUCAUGUCACCAAACGUCAGACAAUGAAAAUGCCGAUGUUUCUACGCCUGUACAUCCUUAACCCUCACCCAUUGUUUUCGUUAACGUUGACAUUCACAAACAAGACCCAGCCACAUGCACAACAAUGCGUUGGCUAUGCUGUCACCUUGCUUGUCCUCAGCAACAUGCGUCAUCCCUGCUUGAGUCUGCACUUGACUUUACUGCCUUGCCCACCCGACCCUUCCCCUCCUUGGUAUUUGCAAUAUACUUUGUACUUACUCUACUGUUAUCCCUGGUUGUGCUAUCCAUCAAGUCUCGGCAUUGACCUGAGCUGUCCCUGACUGCUGAGUCUGGCAUUUGAGUGCCUCCUAUACGGGCUCAACCUUCGGGGUUCAGAUUCUGCUGCCUCACCUCAGAACUCAACAACAUCUCUCCUAACUUCAACGGAUGCCUCAAGCGUAGCUGUGAAAUAUGUAUCGUUAAAAUAAGACGGACUCGGCUUUCCUGUAUUUCAAUAAAAGAUCUGUCCUAGCAUUUA
rnacentral:lncRNA from 1 species